UUAAGCGACUAAGCGUACACGGUGGAUGCCCUGGCAGUCAGAGGCGAUGAAGGACGUGCUAAUCUGCGAUAAGCGUCGGUAAGGUGAUAUGAACCGUUAUAACCGGCGAUUUCCGAAUGGGGAAACCCAGUGUGUUUCGACACACUAUCAUUAACUGAAUCCAUAGGUUAAUGAGGCGAACCGGGGGAACUGAAACAUCUAAGUACCCCGAGGAAAAGAAAUCAACCGAGAUUCCCCCAGUAGCGGCGAGCGAACGGGGAGCAGCCCAGAGCCUGAAUCAGUGUGUGUGUUAGUGGAAGCGUCUGGAAAGGCGCGCGAUACAGGGUGACAGCCCCGUACACAAAAAUGCACAUGCUGUGAGCUCGAUGAGUAGGGCGGGACACGUGGUAUCCUGUCUGAAUAUGGGGGGACCAUCCUCCAAGGCUAAAUACUCCUGACUGACCGAUAGUGAACCAGUACCGUGAGGGAAAGGCGAAAAGAACCCCGGCGAGGGGAGUGAAAAAGAACCUGAAACCGUGUACGUACAAGCAGUGGGAGCACNGUGUGACUGCGUACCUUUUGUAUAAUGGGUCAGCGACUUAUAUUCUGUAGCAAGGUUAACCGAAUAGGGGAGCCGAAGGGAAACCGAGUCUUAACUGGGCGUUAAGUUGCAGGGUAUAGACCCGAAACCCGGUGAUCUAGCCAUGGGCAGGUUGAAGGUUGGGUAACACUAACUGGAGGACCGAACCGACUAAUGUUGAAAAAUUAGCGGAUGACUUGUGGCUGGGGGUGAAAGGCCAAUCAAACCGGGAGAUAGCUGGUUCUCCCCGAAAGCUAUUUAGGUAGCGCCUCGUGAAUUCAUCUCCGGGGGUAGAGCACUGUUUCGGCAAGGGGGUCAUCCCGACUUACCAACCCGAUGCAAACUGCGAAUACCGGAGAAUGUUAUCACGGGAGACACACGGCGGGUGCUAACGUCCGUCGUGAAGAGGGAAACAACCCAGACCGCCAGCUAAGGUCCCAAAGUCAUGGUUAAGUGGGAAACGAUGUGGGAAGGCCCAGACAGCCAGGAUGUUGGCUUAGAAGCAGCCAUCAUUUAAAGAAAGCGUAAUAGCUCACUGGUCGAGUCGGCCUGCGCGGAAGAUGUAACGGGGCUAAACCAUGCACCGAAGCUGCGGCAGCGACGCUGAUGCGUUGUUGGGUAGGGGAGCGUUCUGUAAGCCUGUGAAGGUGUGCUGUGAGGCAUGCUGGAGGUAUCAGAAGUGCGAAUGCUGACAUAAGUAACGAUAAAGCGGGUGAAAAGCCCGCUCGCCGGAAGACCAAGGGUUCCUGUCCAACGUUAAUCGGGGCAGGGUGAGUCGACCCCUAAGGCGAGGCCGAAAGGCGUAGUCGAUGGGAAACAGGUUAAUAUUCCUGUACUUGGUGUUACUGCGAAGGGGGGACGGAGAAGGCUAUGUUGGCCGGGCGACGGUUGUCCCGGUUUAAGCGUGUAGGCUGGUUUUCCAGGCAAAUCCGGAAAAUCAAGGCUGAGGCGUGAUGACGAGGCACUACGGUGCUGAAGCAACAAAUGCCCUGCUUCCAGGAAAAGCCUCUAAGCAUCAGGUAACAUCAAAUCGUACCCCAAACCGACACAGGUGGUCAGGUAGAGAAUACCAAGGCGCUUGAGAGAACUCGGGUGAAGGAACUAGGCAAAAUGGUGCCGUAACUUCGGGAGAAGGCACGCUGAUAUGUAGGUGAAGUCCCUCGCGGAUGGAGCUGAAAUCAGUCGAAGAUACCAGCUGGCUGCAACUGUUUAUUAAAAACACAGCACUGUGCAAACACGAAAGUGGACGUAUACGGUGUGACGCCUGCCCGGUGCCGGAAGGUUAAUUGAUGGGGUUAGCGCAAGCGAAGCUCUUGAUCGAAGCCCCGGUAAACGGCGGCCGUAACUAUAACGGUCCUAAGGUAGCGAAAUUCCUUGUCGGGUAAGUUCCGACCUGCACGAAUGGCGUAAUGAUGGCCAGGCUGUCUCCACCCGAGACUCAGUGAAAUUGAACUCGCUGUGAAGAUGCAGUGUACCCGCGGCAAGACGGAAAGACCCCGUGAACCUUUACUAUAGCUUGACACUGAACAUUGAGCCUUGAUGUGUAGGAUAGGUGGGAGGCUUUGAAGUGUGGACGCCAGUCUGCAUGGAGCCGACCUUGAAAUACCACCCUUUAAUGUUUGAUGUUCUAACGUUGACCCGUAAUCCGGGUUGCGGACAGUGUCUGGUGGGUAGUUUGACUGGGGCGGUCUCCUCCUAAAGAGUAACGGAGGAGCACGAAGGUUGGCUAAUCCUGGUCGGACAUCAGGAGGUUAGUGCAAUGGCAUAAGCCAGCUUGACUGCGAGCGUGACGGCGCGAGCAGGUGCGAAAGCAGGUCAUAGUGAUCCGGUGGUUCUGAAUGGAAGGGCCAUCGCUCAACGGAUAAAAGGUACUCCGGGGAUAACAGGCUGAUACCGCCCAAGAGUUCAUAUCGACGGCGGUGUUUGGCACCUCGAUGUCGGCUCAUCACAUCCUGGGGCUGAAGUAGGUCCCAAGGGUAUGGCUGUUCGCCAUUUAAAGUGGUACGCGAGCUGGGUUUAGAACGUCGUGAGACAGUUCGGUCCCUAUCUGCCGUGGGCGCUGGAGAACUGAGGGGGGCUGCUCCUAGUACGAGAGGACCGGAGUGGACGCAUCACUGGUGUUCGGGUUGUCAUGCCAAUGGCACUGCCCGGUAGCUAAAUGCGGAAGAGAUAAGUGCUGAAAGCAUCUAAGCACGAAACUUGCCCCGAGAUGAGUUCUCCCUGACNGUCCUGAAGGAACGUUGAAGACGACGACGUUGAUAGGCCGGGUGUGUAAGCGCAGCGAUGCGUUGAGCUAACCGGUACUAAUGAACCGUGAGGCUUAACCUU
rnacentral:rRNA from 1 species